rnacentral:rRNA from 1 species
CGCGGUAAUUCCAGCUCCAAUAGCGUAUAUUAAAGUUGUUGCCGUUAAAAAGCUCGUAGUUGAACCUUGGACCUGGCUGAUCUGUCCUCCUAAUCGAGCGUACGGAUUCGGUCGGGUCUUUCCUUCUGGGGAGCCCUAUGUCCUUUACUGGUCGUAGCGGGGAACCAGGACUUUUACCUUGAAAAAAUUAGAGUGUUCAAAGCAGGCCUUUGCUCGAAUACAUUAGCAUGGAAUAAUAGAAUAGGACAUCGGUUCUAUUUUGUUGGUUUCUAGGACCGCCGUAAUGAUUAAUAGGGACAGUCGGGGGCAUCAGUAUUCAAUUGUCAGAGGUGAAAUUCUUGGAUUUAUUGAAGACGAACUACUGCGAAAGCAUUC